UUACGGCAAUAUUACGUUGGAAAACCGGUUCCCGUAUGAUCACCGAAGUUAAACAACGUCGAGCCUGGUCAGUACCUAGAUGGGUGACCGCUUGGGAAUACCAGGUGCU